UUUUUCUUAAAAAUUUCAAAACUAGUUAAAACGUAGUAUAUGAGAGAAAUUUACACAUUUCAUAACCGAAAAUAAGUUUUGAUAUCUAAAACAUUCAUUUAAAGUGAAAUUAUAGCUAAUGGAAUAAAAUAUUCCAAUUUUUCAUAAAACAAUUUUUUUUAGAAAUCUACGUAAAUAAUUUUUACAGUGUAAAAACAAAAUAAAUUCCUACAUACAGCAGCACACGCAGCCAGGUAUUCAAAAUAUUUAACAAUGACAUGUGGGCCCCCGAAUGACUAAAAGUAAUGAAAGCUGUGAACCUACAGUUGUUUUUUUUAAGGAUACAAGUCUAAUUAUAGCCUUCAACGAAAUGAGCUAUCUACCGACUAUCUUGAGCCUGAAAUGGGUGGAAAGGAGGGUGGUGAGAUUAUAUAAUCCCAGUGAGUAAACAAAUACCAUCUAAAAUAUCUAAAACUGAGUAAAUAGAGACAGAUAAAAUAUAUUAGUAUAAAAAUGAUUCAUAGCAUUUUGAACUCAUUUUAAUAAGAUAAAAUAGAUUCAUUUCACCCAAAUAAAUAACGAGGCUUAUGAUUUCUUGAAAAGCUUAGCUCGUGCCAAAAUCAUUCUCAUAUUCAGUUGUCAGGGAUACCUUGGCCUGGGGCUAUCCCAACCGAAUCCGCCAAGGCUGUUAAAAAGUCAUGUACGCAUAAAUCAUGUUUUUAUUUUGAAAACAUAGUUGUUCCUUGGUGUUGGCUAAGUUCACCCUCACGUGGUGGUUCAGCGUGAAGUGAACUCUAAAGUUUUACCUUAGGAGUUACCCUAUGUGCCUUUCCGGCUUAGGUAAGAUAUAACGGGAUUUAUCAUACCCCUCUAAAUAGGCUGGUCCACGGAAACCCACCCACUGCAGUAAACUAAUCGAUAUCCCACCAAAUUAAUAAAAUUUCAGCAGCAUAACGUGGCAAUUAUUUUACAACAUAGCAUGCAAGGCAAAACAAUAGUUCACAUAUGUUUAGCACAAUAAUCAAUCCAGCCACUCAUGCCCACAUUAUCAUAAGCCAUUUUAUUCAAAUCAUAAUUUACAACACAACAAAUAGUCUCUAAUUACUCCAUUUUCAAAACCAUCAUUCAAUUUCAAGACAAUUUUAUAAAAUCAUUUCAUUUAAUCACAUUUUGCUUAUAAAAUAUAAAGAUUUACCAUUUAAAGUCAUUUUCCAUAAAAUCACAAAAACGAAUUAAAAUUCACUUCAGAUAAUCAAGAUGAUGAUAAGGUUACUCACUGUAAUGGGAAUCGAAUUCGAGAUACUUUGAUUCUUGAUCCUCAGAUACUACCUCUUUACUCUUGUCAGAAUGCUCACCACUUAGACAUAAUGCACAAUAAGCAAUUUGCUACAUUUGUGCUAAACCGUUGUAAAACCAAUUCAGGCUUUAUACUAAUGCAUGAAAUGGGAUGUGAAAUACUCGGGUAACUAUCUAAAUACGGUGUUAAAUAUAAAUUCAAUUGUGUACCUAAAUACAAUGGUAUUGGCCUAAUUCGAUCUAUCACCCGAUUAAUUGGCCAAUACGUCUAAUUCAACUCUAAACAAUUCCAUUUCUCUCCCAACACUCCAAAUCAUUAAAUACAAUUUAAAUAACUUGAAAUGUGGCAAAAUCAUCCUCACAUUUUCUCUUGAAAAUUUCGGCCAUGGUGAGUGCACUAACAAUAUAAUUUUUCGUGCUUGAUUCUCACACCAUAAAUCAUUCAUUCCUAAUCAAAUCACUUGAAAUUAAAUCAAAUUCAUCAUUAAUAUUCCACAUGGAAUAUUCGGCCAAUGAAGGUGAUGUAAGAACAUGAAUUUUUCUUGCUUGCUUUUCAUACUACACAUCACCAAACAACUAAAAACACUAGAAUAACAUGUUUUCUAAAUAAAUUCAUCAUCAAAUUCUCUCUCCUAAGGUUUGAACAGCACACUAUCCUUCAUGAUAUCUUGUGAUUCAACCAUGGAAAAUGCAAAAUAAUGCAUAGGAAAGGUAGAUCACAAGCUAGAAUUAAGAAAUUUUACCUUUAAUGGCUUGAUUCCUUGAAAUUUGGUGAAUUUCUCUUGAAUUUCUUAGCUAGGGUUUUGUUCUUCUUCUUUUCUUCCCUUUUCUUCCUUUGGCCGACCAAGAGAAAUGAGU
rnacentral:lncRNA from 1 species